CCGCCUCCUCGGGCUUCGGUGGCGCUGCCGUUGCCGGAGAGACGGGCGGGUUUUUGAAGCCACGUCCCCCUGCCCGUCCCUGCGGUGGGGCUGCUCCCGGCACUUGCCUGCGGAGGGGCUUCUGCGGAGGAGCUCAGGCGGGAUGAUCGGGGGGCCUCGAGAAACGCAAACCGAGGCUUCGUUGCGGGGAAUGAAUUCCGCACCGAGGAGGGGAAAGCCUUUCAAAAACAGCCGCUGGCCGGGCGCGAAAGGUCGCGACUCCCCAGAAGGGAGCGAACAGCUCCUUUGACUCCUGCUCCGUUAUUUUUUGCAGUCUUUGUCCCGCCAGUGGUCUCGGAGCGACACGCGCGGCCUUUCCGCUUCCAAACGGCACCUGCUUAUCAAACCCGCGGACGAAUUUUACACGUUAAACGCUAACUAAAGGAAGCCCGUUGCUUCCUAGCAGCAGGUGAACCCUGCUGUGUCGGAGCUAUUGCUCGCUCGGAUCCCCAUUCGUGUCUACAGGACGAAUGCUAAUAGUUGACUCGCGUGACACAAUCUAGGCAGGCCAGGGAGCUGAGACAGACGUGGGGAGCCAAAAGUCAUCGCAUCUGGCCAGAGGCCUUCCGGGAGAGGCACAAAGAAACAGCCGAGCAAGUUUUAGAAAGCAGAAGCGCCUGGAAACCCCGUGCCAGGAUUUGGCAUUGGCCUUCAGGUGGGCUGGAAAUAGAUACACUCCCCCCUCUUAACACGGGUCUCACAAGGAGCCGGGUUCCACCCUUCAGCUCAACCGGGUCUGGAACCACCCCGUUUCCUUUUAUUGGUACAUUUCCCCAUUGCUGUAGCCUGGGAGGCUGCCAAAGAGUCGCAUCAUUUUUGUGCAAGGGAUCCAAGGAAGAUGAGCUGCUCUGUGGACACUUCAGCCAAACUGUGCCUGGCCAUCAGACAAAAAAGUUACAAUUCUGAACCAGGGAAGCUCCCCGAGAAGAUGGAAAACAACACAAGCUGCACCAACUCCAUCCAGGGCAGAACACUGUGGAAACUACAUCAGGCCCAGAGUAGGCUGAAUUUGGCCCCAACUCAGGCUGAGGGUAUCACCCAACCGCCGGAAGCAGUAACUGAUCAACUAGCCCCUUGGCCCUGGCUGACGAAGCAUGCUCCCGAGGAAGAAAAGUGCCUUGGGAAAAGAUGACUGAGCCACACAGCAAUUAAACUGGUUUCUUCUGGGCUCAACACACAUUUAAUUUCAAAUCCCCUAGUUAUUUUUGCAUCUUAUAGAUUGUAGGUGUACAUCCACGUUAGCAUGUCAUGAAAGGAAGUACAAUUUCCAAGUAGAGCCACUGAACGUAGUGCAAUUUCCCCAUGGCUCCCUGCGCCUGGCACGAUUCCAUCCAGAGGCCCACGGCCAAGCUCUUCCUUACAUGCUGCUUCAAGCAUGGGGAACAUUCAGGGCUAGGCAGAGAAAGGGACUGCAUGCACGAUUCCGUGGCCAGCGGGAGAGGCAUUCCUGCUUCUGAGCAGCCCCCCCCCUUGCUGCAAUGGGCAGACGAAUGGGACAGUGGGAGUCAGGAACCGGGCAGCCCUUGGGACACUUGGCAUCAGAGGUGGGCUUUAGAGUCAAGGUCCGGUUGCUCCCAUGCAAGCUCUCACUGCUCAGCUGGGAUGGGCUACGCUGAGGCUGGCUGGUCAGUCUCUGGCCUCCCGUUGUGUUAUUGCAUAUAAAUACAUCUGGUGAGUCCCUCCCUCAUAGCAAGAGCGGGGAUGUGACUAUGGCUUGUUCACAAGGACAAGGGGCCUUCACACAUUUGGGCAGCUGCCUACUCUCCGCUUCGGCCUUCUUCAUCCUGGAAAGCAGGAAGAUCCAGGAGCCAAGCACGGUGCUCAAGGUGCGGUUGACAAGCAAAGUGGGAGACUUCUCGGAGAUGCUGGCUGAAAUUCUGGAGGGUCAUUUGGAAGAGCUUCUGCCCUUCACCCCCUCCAGGCCACCUUUGUGGGCUUUAUCC